AAGAGGAGAAAACGCAGGAGGAACUGGAAUAGAUCAGGGGUUGAAAUGGAGUAUAUUCAUUUUAUGCUAUAAUUUACUUUCUGGUUUCUAAAGAUGAAAAAGAUGUAGGCAACUUGAAAUCCUAGAGAGCAGGAACAAGCAGAGAAAAGGGAGUGCUGAAGAUAAAGAAGACAGGAUAAUCACUGGUGCCUAAGAAAGGUAACUUUCUUUGCCAUUGAGACUAUCAUCUAUGCAUUGGGAGUAAGCCUUUGUUGUUCCCUCAACUCCAUUUGAGGAAGCCUCAACUACUGGAAGGUGGGACUGAUGCAGCAUAGAGACAAGCAGUCCUGCUAAGAUCCCUGAGACCAAUAGACUAAGUGACUGUAUUGUGAGUAACCCCAGACAGAGAUUAUCAGCAGAAGACUUGCUCAGGAGAUACGCCUCGUCCAAGGUAAGGAGCAGCAGCUGCACUUUGCUAGAGCAGCUAUGAAGAGAUUCCCCACAUCCAAGUUAUUUGAGAAGUAUUUGGAGGACUCUGGUCCAUGCAGACAUCCAUAAACACAGAUUCCUUCUAUCAGUGGAUCUGCUUUGGCUUAGAAGUUCAAAUUCCUCCACUGGAUCAACUGAUGAAGCUCCUGUUAAAAAGCUCUGCUGCAGCCCGGUGCUGGUUCUCUAUACCCAGAUCCCAGGCAGGAUCCGCUCCUGUGGGGUUGGUGUGGGCGUGCUGAAGCUGAUGAUGGUUUCUCAUCCUUCUCCUCUGGCUUUAUGGCGGAAGGAAUACUGCCAAAUUUAUCAUUGACUUUGUAGAAGAGUUCUGAGUACAAAUCUGACAAAGGACAGCUGAAGCAAUGAGAGAGGUGAAGCAUAAAUAUCCCCAAACAACCUAUUUUCCAUAUUGAAAUGUGUUUCUUCUAAGAUGGGAAAGCUUUAAUGAAGUUGAAGAUGACUGCAAAGUGGCUUACCUGACAGAUGAAGCAAUAAGCCCAUUCCCUCUCUACAGCUAAAGGCUUAAAAUUAUCCAUCUGUCAUCUCUCUAGUGGGUGGAGAUUAUAAUAGAAAGCAGCAAGCUAUCUUAAUUACAUAACUAUUCCAGUUCCAAUUAUAUAUCAUGUAGCGUUUAAAGUACAUUAUCUCCCUACAAUAAAUUGAACAUAUAACAAUGGCACUUCUCACUUUUAUCUCUGACAUUUCUAUUUUUUAUUACUAAUUUUUGUUUAAUGUAGUAUUUUUUCACAUUUUAUCUUGAUGUGACUUCUGUCCUUUUUGGUAUUGAAUUAUGAAAUAUGCAGUGCUUAUUUGUUGGCAAUUACUAUGUGCCUGAAUCCAUAUCAGUUUGUCAUACAAGUUUUUAAUAAGGAAAAAGGAAAGUAACAGCUUGAUUUAAAUAUUUAAACUUUUGUUUUUUUAAUUGUUUAUCUGUCACUUGGUGCAAUAGUUCUCAAGGUACCCUACUCCAAGGGACUAUAAGGUGUAUAGACUUACUUAUAUGACUGAGCAAAAGAUGCUUGUGAUUUAGUUCAAUAUUCUUCACUUCCACAGUUGGAUAGAUACUGCAAGUUCAAACAUAGUACUGAUUUUGAGAUUUUUUUUCCUUUCAUGUGAUUCACUCAAUGAUAACCUUGAGCUGUAACCUUCACAAGUGAGUAUGUAACAGGUAUAUUGAGCUUGUUAGGAUUAAGAACACUUAAAAAGAAAACCUUUUUAA